rnacentral:rRNA from 1 species
GAUAAACGCUGGCGGCGUGCAUGAGACAUGCAAGUCGAACGAAGGAUCGGGCUUGCUCGAUCCUUAGUGGCGGACGGCUGAGUAACGCGUAGGUGACCUACCCCGAAGUGGGGAAUAACUGCCCGCAAGGGUGGCUAAUUACGCAUGUGGUCGCACGCCCAUUCGUGCGAGUAAAGCCGCAAGGCGCUUCGGGAGGGGCCUGCGUCCGAUUAGCUCGUUGGUGGGGUAAUGGCUUACCAAGGCGACGAUCGGUAGGUGGUCGGAGAGGACGAUCACCCAGACUGGGACUGAGACACGGCCCAGACUCCUACGGGAGGCAGCAGUCGGGAGUUUUGCGCAAUGGGGGAAACCCUGAAGCAGCAACGCCGCGUGAGGGAUGAAGGCCUUCGGGUUGUAAACCUCUUUUGUCAGGGACGAUGAUGACGGUACCUGGCGAAUAAGCCACGGCUAACUACGUG